rnacentral:rRNA from 1 species
GGGUCCGGACACACUGAGGAUUGACAGGCAAAAGAUACAAGUUUUCUUUGUGAGAGCUUGCAUUGUAAAAUAUGCGAGUCCUUUCAUGAUUAUGUGAUAGGUGGUGCAUGGCCGUUCUUAGUUCGUGGAGUGAUCUGUCUGCUUAAUUGCGUUUCACAACGAUUUAAAAUGCUAUGUUUUCUGUGUUUGCUGUUCGGUUUUAGCUCUUACGGGAGUUUUUAACUUUGAACGCACACGGCGUAGCUUAAAACAAUCGGAAAGCAACGAACGUGACCGCAACCUCUUGUUGCCUUUAUUUUUAAAAGCGUGGAAAAUUUUAUAUUUUCCUACGCUUGAAAAAGGCUUUAAAACUAGAGGGACCGCUGUUCUAUUCUCUUAAACCAGAGGAAGAUUGCGGCAAUAACAGGUCUGUGAUGCCCUCAGAUGUUCCGGGCUGCACACGUGCUACAAUGAUUGUUGCAGUGGGCAUCUAUUUCCAAACGCUACCGUUGCGGAUUUUGUGAGAAGGGGGAUUUGUUUUAAAGCUUCGGCAGAGAAGCAGGUUCUUUUUUUUCACAAUUUAUUCCGCGUUACGUGUCAGCUAAACCUGCUUCGAAAGCAAGUAGGU